GCCAGAGUGGCUCCCACCGACACCUUCCCUUCUGUCCCUCCGGUGUCGGUGGCUGCUCACUGACGAGCCCGUGGCCGGGGGCACCACCCUCAGCGCCGAGCCCUGCCCUCCCUGGCGUGAAUCCGUCUGCCCUUGCAGCCUCUGCAUUUUACCUCCUCUCCUCCAACACCUCUCCCACAGCCGUGGCUCUGAAUUCGGCGUCCCUCUCCUGCGCACCGCUCCCACUCGAGCCGGCCGUUCGGGUCUGGUGGUCUCGGCCACUGCCCCGCCACGGUGCCUCGUUCUCCCCUUUCCGCUCGCGGAGCUAGCCGACCGGCAGAGCGGCCAGUGCGGCCGGAGGGUUUGCAGGAAAGGUCACUUCCUUCAGCUGCGGCAGAGGGAGCCGUCCCCCGCACUGCACGGGUCGCCCGGCUGCCAGCGGGAGAAGGCCCGUCCUCGUCCCCGGGGUCGCUUGUUUCUUUAAAUUUCCCCUCAGUUGUGAAAUGACUCAACAGGCUCUCCUUGGACCUUGCUGUGUAGACAGACCUGGAUUUUAGUUCUGUGAGAUGGGGCAGAAUCCAUCUCUCUGACCUCGUUUCUGUAAAAGGUGGUCGACGUGAGGAUUAAAGAUAGCAUACAUGCUUGGUUCUUCACGGUGGCGCAGUAAAUGUUAGCCCUCUCAGCAAAUGUUAGAUCUUUAUCCUACGGGAAAAGCCGUGUUGUUGUGGUUGAAAAAAAGUCUAUAAGAAGCUGGAAGAUCGUCAUCCCUCCAACUCUUUACGCUCUGACUGCUCUAGAAUUCUGUUACUUCUUUCAUAAAGUGGGGUGUAAUAAUACUUAAUUGGCUGGAGGCUAAAUCAGUUGUUUUCUGAGGUCUCUUUUAAGCCUAUAACUAAUCAAAUGAGAAAAUAUGUUACAAUUGAAAGGUUAAAGUGCCACGAAAAGAGUGGCAUUUUUUUUUUCUACAUAGUUAAAUCUGUCUUUUGCAAUUGGUGUUAUUGGGAAGGUUGUCUGGUUCCCCUCUAUGUCUGAUUAUGAAGCAGCUCUCAGGAGCCUGAGCUGGUUACUAAAUCUUAAACCUGAUUUCCAGUUUGAUAAUGGAAUAAGCUGUACUUUAGGAUUAUACUUCAGCUUAACCCUUAGUACUGUUUACUGCGGAAACCCCUGUGGCAUAGUGGUUAAGUGUUAUGGCUGCUAACCAAAGGGUCAGCAGUUGAAUCCUCCAGGAGCUCCUCGGAAACUCUAUGGGGUAGUUCUACUCUGUCCUGUAGGAUCGCUGUGAGUCAGAAUCGACCCGACGGCACUGGAUUUGGUUUUUUGGUUUACUAUUUACUGCGCUAUUAUAUCAGUUAUAAAACUGAUCUUUAAGAUGUUGUUAUUGAUGUUUAUUUAGAUUGUUUACCUUUAGUUCUUUUAACACUCUUUUUUUGGAAUUAGGUUGUUUUGUGGCAGCGAUUUUCAGGAGGGAGGAUUGAGCAAUGCUUUGGUAGUGAUCCGGGCAUUACGGAAUACGUGGAAUGAACUCUGACCCGCUUAGGCUUUGUGUUUGCUGUGUAGGAUGAGGAAAAGGUGAAGGGGAAGCAGUUUUAAACUAUUUAAAAUAAUACAGAAUUGAAGGAAGAGGAGUGUUACCUUUCAUUUGAAGACCGUGCAUUUCUUCUGGAUGUCCUUGGAUUAGUUUAGAUAUUUUAACUCCUUUUUCCAGUACAUAAAAAAAAAAAAAAAAACACUGCCUCAA